rnacentral:rRNA from 1 species
CGGAGUAAGUGGCGAACGGGUGAGUAACACGUAGGAACCUGUCGCGCAGCGGGGGAUAACGGCGGGAAACCGGCGCUAAUACCGCAUGUGGUCCUCUUGGGAGACCGAGAGGAAGAAAGGCUCAGAGAUGAGUCGCUGGGUGAGGGGCCUGCGGACGAUUAGCUAGUUGGUGGGGUAAAGGCCUA